rnacentral:sRNA from 1 species
UCAGAUAUAUCAUCGCCUAACUGGCGAAU